CCGGCAUCACUGGAGUGGUGGCGCAGCUGUUUCCUCCGGAUAUCCAUCAAAUAUACUGGAGCAAAGCAUUCUAAGUUGCUGCUCAGAACGUAAAGAUGCAAACCCCAAAUCAGUGGUUUAUUCAUUCUUCAUGCAAAAGCAAUGCGCUAAAGGAGAGAAGUAAGCUGUGGUGAUCAGUGACUUUGGUGAAGGCUAAGAAGGUUCAAACAAAUUUGCAAAUGAUAUACAACUUCUAAGGUAAGCUACUAUGAUGACUCAAUCAAGAUUUUAAGUGCUCUUGACAGACCU
rnacentral:lncRNA from 1 species